UUGUAGGGCAAUUUGUCCUUGAGUGGAUGUAAAUUCCUCUUCAAAAAAUGAAUCUUGAUAGUUUCCUUCAAGCCCAAUAUUAUGU
rnacentral:pre_miRNA from 1 species